GCAGUGUGGAAGGCGUAGAACUGAAAUAUUCGGAAGUUGGCACCUUUGAUCCAGAGCGUCUGAACGACUUCCUCCUAGGUCUCUUGAAGGUGACUUCCGUCCCAGCCCUUCAAGAGGCCAUGAAAGAUGGGAUGCCUCUUCCAAGCAUGAUGGGCUCCAGCUAUGCAGCACCUGCCAUUGAAAUUCUUCCGAAUGCUGUGCGAGCCAUUGUGCACUGUGAAAGCGAGUGACCCUGCGGUGCAGUCCAUUCUCCACCCCACUCUGCAGAAGCCGGAGGACCGUGCAAGGAAACAACAAGGCUAGAAACAUGCCCUUCCCGUGCACCACCAGCUUCCUGGCUGAGGCCAGACCACCUGAUCGAAACAUCUGGACUCCUUGAGAAAAAAAAAUGUGUACCAAUGCAAAUGCACCCCAGUUCCUGCUUCCGGGGGUGGGGGUGGGCAUUGCUUGAAGGAUCCUCCUUCUCUGUCACUCUCAGCUUUAUACCUUUCCUCCAGACAAGCCUAGAAUAGAGUUGCAUGAGCUUCUUCAAUAAAAGAUUUUCAUUUCCUUCCUUGCAA